GCACAAGUGUGUAGAGUGACUAAACGUCUAGACAAUAAAUAAACACAAUAUGAAAUUGGAACUAUUCCGGCAUUAAUGUAUUUAAAAUAUAAUUGCAAGGGAAACGUGAGGGUUUCCAAGCCGGAGACAACGGUCAGCGACCUCGCAAGCCAACUGAGAAUACAACGUUGCCAAAUAACAAAUGUAAACAAAGCCGAAACGAUGACAUCAAGCGAACGAAUACAAAACGAGCGGUACACGAAAUCAGCAAGAACUUUAUCCGAAUAAUCGGGACCUUGUAACUUUUCGGAUUAAUGAAAACAACCCUUCCUUGUCAGCGGUGCCGUAGAAAAUUCUAACACAAUCUAACUUAGAAAACAAAAGCUUUGGAGUUUGUAAGGGACUGGGGUAACGCUGAUCAGAGCUAAGGGACAUUUGGAAACCAAAGCACGUACAUUUUGAAUGGACAAGAGGCCACCGGAUCACAUAUGCUUGAUCAGCUAACUCCGAUUAUUUUUCGGGAAUUUUCGGCCUUCUGUUACGAUAGUUCUGUUAAAUCUAAAAUAAUGAUGUUCUGUACAAAAUUUAGCUUAUACCUAGCUAUAUAGGCUCGCUGGUCAAUGAUGAACUUGGAAUUCUGAAACCAAACCACGUAGUCGUGGACGAGAAACGAGAAAGAAACCAGGUUAUGCUUUCUAUUUGUUUUGAUUAUUAUGCUAUACUGGAGUAAGGGAAUCUAAAACAAUAUUAAAUAUUAUACAUACAUGAAAA